UACGGAGGGUGCGAGCGUUGUCCGGAAUCAUUGGGCGUAAAGAGCUCGUAGGCGGUCUGUCACGUCGGCUGUGAAAACACGGGGCUCAACUCCGUGCCUGCAGUCGAUACGGGCAGACUAGAGUUCGGUAGGGGAGACUGGAAUUCCUGGUGUAGCGGUGAAAUGCGCAGAUAUCAGGAGGAACACCGGUGGCGAAGGCGGGUCUCUGGGCCGAAACUGACGCUGAGGAGCGAAAGCCAGGGGAGCAAACGGG
rnacentral:rRNA from 1 species